GAUGAACGCUGGCGGCGUGCCUAAUACAUGCAAGUCGAGCGAACAGACGAGGAGCUUGCUCCUCUGACGUUAGCGGCGGACGGGUGAGUAACACGUGGAUAACCUACCUAUAAGACUGGGAUAACUUCGGGAAACCGGAGCUAAUACCGGAUAAUAUAUUGAACCGCAUGGUUCAAUAGUGAAAGACGGUUUUGCUGUCACUUAUAGAUGGAUCCGCGCCGCAUUAGCUAGUUGGUAAGGUAACGGCUUACCAAGGCAACGAUGCGUAGCCGACCUGAGAGGGUGAUCGGCCACACUGGUACUGAGACACGGUCCAGACUCCUACGGGAGGCAGCAGUAGGGAAUCUUCCGCAAUGGGCGAAAGCUUGACGGAGCAACGCCGCGUGAGUGAUGAAGGUCUUCGGAUCGUAAAACUCUGUUAUUAGGGAAGAACAAACGUGUAAGUAACUAUGCACGUCUUGACGGUACCUAAUCAGAAAGCCACGGCUAACUACGUG
rnacentral:rRNA from 1 species